AAACAGGAAGAGCAAACCCACCUCCCUCCCCCAACGUCAUACUUGAGCUCUAUUUCAGUGUCACCCUCCUGCAGUCAGCAGCAAGUCAGUAUGGAGGCUACAACUCUCUGCUUCAGGCUGUUGAUGCUUGAAUUCCUGCUGGAGAUUCACAUUCAGUCCACUUAUACUCUCAAAAGUGGUGCAGUUUUGCUUCGAGUCGAUCCAAACAGACUUCAACACUUUGAUUACGACUCUUUGUCUUUUCACUGUGAGGGAAGCGAAG